AUUGAUGCUAAGAGAAUGGAAUACAGGAAAAAACUUUUUUUUAAAUUAAAAAUUGAAAUUUUUUUAAUUUGUGCAGAAACAAUUAUUAAUAUUAAGGACAAGAAGACCCUAUGAAUUUAUUAAAUUUUAUUUAAUAUGUAAUUACUAUUAGAAAAAUUUUGGCUGGGGCGGCUAAAAAAUAUUUUAAACUUUUUAAAAAUAAAAUGAUCCAUUAUUAAUGAUUAUAUGUUAAAUACUCUAGGGAUAACAGCGUUAUAUUUUUUGAUAGAUCAUAUUGACAAAAAAGUUUGCGACCUCGAUGUUGGAUUAGGAUACUUUUUUAAUGCAGACAUUAAAAAAAGAAGUUUGUUCAACUUUUAAUUUCCUACUUGAUCUGAGUUCAGACCGG
rnacentral:rRNA from 1 species